rnacentral:misc_RNA from 1 species
CAGAGUUUACAAGACUCCCUAAACCAUUGUGAACCUACCUUCUACCUGUUGCCUUCGGCGGAUCAGCCCCGCCUCCCCGGCCUAACCGCGGGACGGCCCGCCAGAGGACCCCUAAACUCUGUUACUAUUAUGUACCUCUCUGAGUAUUAACCAUGAAAUAAAUCA